GACGAACGCUGGCGGCGUGCUUAACACAUGCAAGUCGAACGGUGAACCUCUUCGGAGGGGAUCAGUGGCGAACGGGUGAGUAACACGUGGGCAACCUGCCCCCGGCUCUGGGAUAACUCCAAGAAAUUGGGGCUAAUACCGGAUGUUCACCGCUUCCCGCAUGGGUGGUGGUGGAAAGGGUUUCCGGCUGGGGAUGGGCCCGCGGCCUCUCAGCUUGUUGGUGGGGUAGUGGCCUACCACGGCGACGACGGGUAGCCGGCCUGAGAGGGUGACCGGCCACACUGGGACUGAGACACGGCCCAGACUCCUACGGGAGGCAGCGGGGGGGAAUAUGGCGCAAUGGGCGGAAGCCGGACGCAGCGACGCCGCGUGGGGGAUGACGGCCUUCGGGUUGUAAACCUCUUUCAGCAGGGACGAAGCGCAAGUGACGGUACCUGCAGAAGAAGCACCGGCCAACUACGUG
rnacentral:rRNA from 1 species